rnacentral:lncRNA from 1 species
GAUGUCUGAAGUGAAUGCUGUUAUCAUAGUCAGUGGGCAGUGAACAGUGCUCUUCCUAUUGGACAUGUGAUCACUUUGGCUUCAGCCACUGAUAUCCUCCAGUACCCUGUCUGCAUUCUAGGCAUCUGCAAUUUCUGUAGACCUUUCUCUGACCAUGUCUGAGGGCCUGUGCCCAUUAACCAGAAGUACUGAUGGUGCUGAAGGAGUUUCAGCUCACAAACGCCAUAACACAGCUCCACCUCUGCCAUCUACUGCUCAGGGGUUGCUCAAGCAAACAGGGCAACAGGUGUCCAAGGUGGGUACCAAGAGCAAGAAAGGGAAGGGAAUAAAGUUAGCACUAU